UACGUAGGGUGCGAGCGUUAAUCGGAAUUACUGGGCGUAAAGCGUGCGCAGGCGGCUUUUUAAGCCAGAUGUGAAAUCCCCGGGCUUAACCUGGGAACUGCAUUUGGAACUGGAAGGCUAGAGCGUAGCAGAGGGGGGUAGAAUUCCACGUGUAGCAGUGAAAUGCGUAGAGAUGUGGAGGAAUACCGAUGGCGAAGGCAGCCCCCUGGGCUAACACUGACGCUCAUGCACGAAAGCGUGGGGAGCAAACAGGAUUAGAUACCCUGGUAGUCCACGCCCUAAACGAUGUCAACUAGGUGUUGGGGAAGGAGACUUCUUUAGUACCGCAGCUAACGCGUGAAGUUGACCGCCUGGGGAGUACGGUCGCAAGAUUAAAACUC
rnacentral:rRNA from 1 species